AUAUAAGUACCUGGGUAUGAUGUUACAAUGCAGAUCUAAUUCAGCAGGUCUAGGGUGGAGCCUAGAAUUCUGCAUUUCUAACAUGUUUCUAGAUGCUGCUGCU
rnacentral:pre_miRNA from 1 species